UCUGGUCAAUCACAGUGGCCAGUGGCAGCCAGCUGAAGAUCUUCUGGAGCAGUUUUAGAAUCUUCUUGCCAUGGAGCUGUGGAGAGCAAAAAUCAUCUCCACUUCAGUCUGGAAUAGGCUAACCUUUGAUGCAGUCAUCAAUUCUGAGAAGAGGAGUCGCAGCAGUUUCCAUGUUUCCCCAAGAAGUUGGAGGACAUAACAUGUUCCAGGUGCAGCGCCGCCUCAUCUCCAGCCGGGCCACAUACUGACGGUACCAGCGCUGGAUCAGCAGAGCCGACCUCAUGGCUGUGGAGUUGCGAGAGGGAGGAGAGAAACUGUGUCAGUGUGGGGGUUUGCACAAUUGGGCCUUUCAAGAUCUAUGAACUGGGGUCUACACAUAUCUCACAGCUCUACUGUACACUAAUCCUGAAUCUGAAUUUGGACUACCCUCAAACUGAGAGAACACUCACCUGUUGCAGCUUCAUAACAGAAGGCGCAAAGUAAAGAAACAGUUUAGCACAAGUGAAAUACUUAUGCUACAUGAUGCAUGAACACAUUUGGUGUGGCUUUUAAUAAUGUCUUAUGUAUUAAAGUGAUAUUUUAUGGGUAAUGAAAGCUUACCUGGAACUGAAAGGUGACCUGUAAACAAAACACACAUGGCUCAAUGUUAACAAGAGAAUGAUCAAAAUUGUUCAGGCAAAAAUGGUUAAAAUGUUAUAUUAUUCUAAUAAAUAAAUCCAUUCGUUAUGGACUGUAUGACAAUGA